AAAUUGAAGAGUUUGAUCAUGGCUCAGAUUGAACGCUGGCGGCAGGCCUAACACAUGCAAGUCGAACGGUAACAGGAAGCAGCUUGCUGCUUCGCUGACGAGUGGCGGACGGGUGAGUAAUGUCUGGGAAACUGCCUGAUGGAGGGGGAUAACUACUGGAAACGGUAGCUAAUACCGCAUAACGUCGCAAGACCAAAGAGGGGGACCUUAGGGCCUCUUGCCAUCGGAUGUGCCCAGAUGGGAUUAGCUAGUAGGUGGGGUAACGGCUCACCUAGGCGACGAUCCCUAGCUGGUCUGAGAGGAUGACCAGCCACACUGGAACUGAGACACGGUCCAGACUCCUACGGGAGGCAGCAGUGGGGAAUAUUGCACAAUGGGCGCAAGCCUGAUGCAGCCAUGCCGCGUGUAUGAAGAAGGCCUUCGGGUUGUAAAGUACUUUCAGCGGGGAGGAAGGGAGUAAAGUUAAUACCUUUGCUCAUUGACGUUACCCGCAGAAGAAGCACCGGCUAACUCCGUGCCAGCAGCCGCGGUAAUACGGAGGGUGCAAGCGUUAAUCGGAAUUACUGGGCGUAAAGCGCACGCAGGCGGUUUGUUAAGUCAGAUGUGAAAUCCCCGGGCUCAACCUGGGAACUGCAUCUGAUACUGGCAAGCUUGAGUCUCGUAGAGGGGGGUAGAAUUCCAGGUGUAGCGGUGAAAUGCGUAGAGAUCUGGAGGAAUACCGGUGGCGA
rnacentral:rRNA from 1 species